CAUUCCAUAUAAAUCGGGGAAGUUGGCGGGAAAUAAUUCUCCGGGGUAGUCUUGUGUGCUGUCAAUGUCGACGGUUCCAGAAAUAAGGUCACUCUUUGUGUCACUAGCAUCUGAACUGAAGUACAUAAGUCCGGCGACCGGAAAUGAAGCUCCGAAUAUGGACUUCUCUAUCACAAAUCUCAACCGUUCGCUUAACCUCGCCGAAACAAUUUCUAGAGUUAGGGUUUUGGACACUGCCCUUUCCGCUUUGUGCUUCACAUCAUCCCAGGUCUUUAACUGUACAAUUGAGUACUUGGUGAAGACGAUUGCUACAGUGCUAUCUUCUUCAAUUGAAUGCAAGGUUCUUAAAACUGCUGACGGGGAGGUUCUGCAAAUUGGUGGAUUGAUUUCUGGCCAGGAUUGUACCAGAAUAGUUGAAUCUUGUGCUGAUGUUCUGCAGAAACUUGAAAGAUUUCAACCAGAUCUUUCUCCAAUCAUUUUGUAUGCUGUUGUGAGGGUGGCAGUACUAGCAUCACGAGUUCACUAUUUACUGAAAUUGCCUCCUAUGCUUGACCUAAGAUCCAUUGAUGGAAGACACUGUGCUUUGCUGAAACAGGUACAUUAUCAAAAGGAAAUUAACAUUGAGAGUGGAAAAAUACCGCUAAGGUUGCUCUCAUGGCAACUAGAUCACAUGCUUCUGAAGUAUGAUGUAUCUCAAAUUUUGCAAGAGGUCAUUAAGAGACCUUUCCUUUGUUUAGAAAUGGAAUUUCAUGAGAGGAAAGAUUGGCGUUCAAUUGUUAUAUGCUUGGUACUUUCUCCUGUCAUGUUUACUGAGACUAGAUCCCUGUUGCAUUACUGGUUUCUACUGACGGGUUUGGCUUCUAUUCUAGAGCUUCAUGUUAAGCUGGUCUCCCUAGUGCUAGAUAUUAUUUCCAGACCAAUGUGGUGGGGCAUAUCAAUGGAUCUUGGAUCAAAACUUCCAUUUUCACAUUCUUACUUUCCAUGCAAGAAGCAGAUUUUGAGGAUUUUGACUGGACCUUUGUCCUUGGAAUCUUUGGAGUUUCUAGUUCAUGAAGUUUGCAAGCCAGUUAACGCAUUUUCAAAUAAAGCUGUGAAUAUUGCCAAAGUAAAUCAAAGUUCUAUUUGGGCAAUUACAAUAACUUUCCCUUCUUGGUUCAUUUUCGCUUCUAUUUUGCUCUUCUCAGAAAAGAGUUUGAGGGACAAGUACAGCUCAGCAUGCAUAUAUGGAGAAGGUAAUCUUAACAAUUCACAGGACGUUAAAGCUCCUUUUCUUGCUACUGCUGCAAAGUUUAUAGCAUGGAGUUUGAACCCUGCUGGUGGAUCCUACUUGGAACUUUUAGUUGAUAAUCUGAUCAAAUUUUCCAAUUUAUGGACUAUUAAGAAGUUUGGCUCUGAUGAAGGCAAUGAGACAACUCUUUGUCGCAACAAGGAAGUCAGGGGAUCUCUGUCCUUUAAGAAGGAAAUAGUGAAUAUCCUGGAUUCCAAUUGCCAAGCACUUGCUUUCUGGAUUAAAGAAUUUCAGGACAUGUACAAUGGGCACUCAGACAAAGUAAAUGAAAGCUUUGCUCCAGAUAAAGAACGAACACCAGGUGUUAGUGUACAGAAGAACAUGUUGUUUCGGAGGAUACCAAUAGGCAUCUUGUUCGGAUGCUUGAAUCAUAUAAGUGAUGCUGAAUGUGAACUGCUUUUGCAUUAUGGUGCAAAUGGUACCCUCAUGCAAUUAUCCGGAGGACAACCUGGAAUGAAGGAUAGGAAAUCUAACCAUGAAAGGCAAAAAGGUUUGAUUGCAUGGGCUAAGACAUACACAGGAAAAGAGGCUACAGCAGGAGCUCGUAUUGUCUUUGACAUAACUGAUGUAAGUGAACGUAUAUCAGCUUCUAUGUUUGAAACUGAGGAAUGUGGACUCAAUUUUGUGUGUGACGUGAAACUAAAGGUUGGUAGAUAUCUAGUCAAGUGUGUGAAAAGGCUACUCCAACUCACACUAGAGAUAAACAGCAUACAGCUGAACAUGAAGGAUCUCUAUGACAGAAUGCUCAGGUGGAGAAAUCAAGGGCGAGAUGUUUUUCAAAAUUAUAGGGAAUUGGAUAAUAUAAUAGAUGCCUGUGCUUCAGCAGCCUUUUGAAGACCCUGUACAACUGCAAUCGAAUGUGCAAAACUGAUAAGGCAUGGGCCAUAGGAAAUUGUUUUGGAGGCAUUGUUCUGCUUUGUAAAAGUAUUAUCCUCAAGUUCAAAGAAGGAUCCUGUUUCAUUACCCUAGCAGUGUUGUAGACAGCAGUUCUGCAAUCAGGAAGAAUGCUGAUGGACCAUGGAGGCAGGUCAUAUUGCAUAUUCUGAAAAGUGACUUUAACUGAAAAAGUUGGGUCAUAGUUGGACAAAAAUGCAGCACAAACGCCAGAUUUCGAGCUAUACACAUGCGCCUGUGUUUGAUGUCAACAGGUAAAUCAGUUUUUGAAGAAAUCAAGAUGUUAAAUUCAUCUAGAAAAUUAGAAUUGUCUACAUCAGUAACCUCUUGAUUUUUUCCGAGCCAAGUGACUUUUGCAUAGGAUGAAACCAAGGCUGGUUCAGAGAGCUUUAUAGCUUUAUGCAAGUCUCUCAAGUGCCCAUAUUUUGGUUCAUUCAGCAGCCCUGUUACACCAUAGAGCUAGUCAAGCAUGUAACAGUUCCUGCUUGCUAGAAAAAAAAUUAAUGCCGUUUCUUUUGGUUGCACAGAUGAUUAUGAAAUCUGAGAGUACAUAAUUCUUUUACUUGUUUAGUUGUGUUUCUGUUUCAUACCA